UCCCCGUUACCGGGGCAGUCUAGCUAGAGAAAUACAACUAACUAUAAGGGUUGCGCUCGUUGGUGGACUAACCAAACAUCUCACGACACGAGCUGACGACGGCCAUGCAUCACCUGUCAUUAGGUUCCCGAAGGCACUUUUUCCUUUCAGAAAAAUUCCUAAGAUGUCAAACCUUGGUAAGGUUCUACGCUUAUCGUCGAAUUAAACAACACGCUCCACCGCUUGUGCGGGUCCCCGUCAAUUCCUUUAUGUUUUAAGCUUGCGCUCGUACUCCACAGGCGGGAUGCUUAACGCGUUAGCUUCGCUACUAGAAGGGUCGAUACUUCUAACAGCUAGCAUCCAUAGUUUACGGCGUGGACUAC
rnacentral:misc_RNA from 1 species